rnacentral:misc_RNA from 1 species
UCCGUCUUGGCGACGGCAGUCCCAUUAGAGUGCUCAGCUUUACCUGGUGGCAACUAAUGGCAAGGGUUGCGCUCGUUGCGGGACUUAACCCAACAUCUCGCGACACGAGCUGACGACAGCCAUGCAGCAUCUGUGACCCACCCUCGAAGGCGACCCGCUUUCACGGGCUUGCAGGGUCAUGUCAAACCUGGGUAAGGUUCUGCGCGUUGCGUCGAAUUAAACCACACGCUCCGCUGCUUGUGCGGGCCCCAGUCAAUUCCUUUGAGUUUUAAGCUUGCGCUCGUAGUUCCCAGGCGGGCCACUUCCCGCGUUAGCUAAGGCCCCCAGCGACGGAGAUUCCGCCACCAAAGGCCGAGUGGCCAUCGUUUACGGCGUGGACUAC